rnacentral:rRNA from 1 species
UGGGCAACCUGCCCCUCUCUCUGGGAUAACCCCCGGGGAAACCGGAGCUAAUACCGGAUACUCCGGCUGGAUCGCAUGGUCCGGCCGGGAAAGGUCCGCCGGAGAAGGAUGAGCUCGCGGCCUAUCAGCUAGUUGGUGGGGUCAUGGCUCACCAAGGCGACGACGGGUAGCUGGUCUGAGAGGAUGGCCAGCCACAGUUGGGGACUGAGACACGGCCCAGACUCCGUACGGGAGCA